GGGCUUCCUGUUACUUUGAUUUUGCAUUUAAAAAAGAGUUUUGUCUUUGUGGUUUUGGUGGCCUGAGUGACAAGUUGCACUAACAUACUACCAUUUGAAGGCAGGAUAUCUAUAGGCAUGUUACACCUUGUGCUUAACUGUAACUAGACAUGCAAAUUUAGAUGACUUUAAGUGAAAUGUUCAUGAACUGAUGUCGAUUCAAAUUUUGGUUUUUGUAAGUGAAAAAAAACAAAAAACACAUACUUUACUUAAAUCACAGAUCUUCCAUAAAAACAUACUGAGUACAAUGAAUGCUAUUGAAAAGAUACAGAACAUGUCGCGACAUAAAAAUAGUUGAAACACCAGAUGUUAUCAUAAGAAGCAGACUCAUGAAGAUAUUCUAUCUGUACUCAUGUCAGAUGCUUAAAUGACAAAAUGUGGAAAUGCUGCAAAGAAAGAUCAGAUAAAUAUUUCAGCCUCAGCGCCAGCUUUUCUACAUACUUGUUCUUCUUGAUAAUAUGAGCAUAUCCACAAGGCAGAAAACACAUGUCGAGGAGGGAAAUCUCUCUGCAUCGACUUUUCACAAAUCUGUUGGUUUUGUUCUCAAAAACGAGUUGUAAAAAGUUCUGAAUUCCUUUGUCCCUUGUGUUAGCUGCUGUGUAUUGUUUCCCAAAACAAACUCCUGGAGACUGGGUGCAUGACUGCAUGGCUUUAACUCACAAUGGAAAAUGGCUGCCAGUAUAAAUCACAACAACUAAUUGAUAUUUACAUAUCUGCUGAUAUGCAUUGUAAAUGUUAGAGUGGACCACUGAAUUCGUGUGGACAGUAUGUGAGGCUCAUACUGUGUUGUUGUGCUGUUCCUCUUGUACUCGCUGUAAUGUAAUAUGACGUCACACACAGGGACACUAAUAUUGUGUUGUUUUGAGGUACAGCAAGUAAGUACAAAGGCGUGGAGAUAGCAGGACCUGGUUUUGGUGCCAUUUUGGAGUUGCAGUAUAGCUUACUGUAGCUUAAGCUAACCAGAAUCCUUCAUCCUCUGGUAUUUGAGUUCAAACAAUGGGAAACUGGUCAGAUGGUGAUGUCGAAGUCUGCCUGAUGCUUGAAUUAGUAGCUUUCCAUUUUGAAUAGGGGGCUGGGAUCUGAGUUUCCCUAACUUAAGGAAACUAAAACUAAAAAACGAUUCCUUUUUUUUUAAAAGCUGCGGUCAAAAUCAUUUAUGAAUUCUGUUGAGAGACUCAAAAGUUGUCAGCUUCAAACAUUUGGAUGUCAGUCUGACAGCUGGUCCUGUUUAAAACUCCCAUAAACAUUUGUCUUACAGGCACAUAGGAGUGUUGUUGUGAUGUUGACACAGUAAGAUACACUUAAAGUUUGAUCUCAACAGCUGAGGAAACUCUUGAGUUGAGUGCAGACCUGACCCGAAUAACAUUUAGAGUCCAUCAGACAGCACGACUGCACCAUGAAGGCACAUGGUUCAGAUUUGACUAAAGAUCAUCUACUUUAAAUGGCAACAAGAGAUUCCUAUUUGCUCUGUCAUAAAUUUUGAAUAUCAUUUUAUACUCCUCGUCUCUGCUCGACUCCCAGCAUCCGCAGUAAGGACUUUUUUUGUUGAUGGCAGUCAGGACAGCCUCUAAUGUUCACACAGCCUACUUUCUUCUGGUCCUCUCUCCCUCUGCUUUCUGGUGGAGAAACAGGAGAUAUCCAUUUAAGUCAGUAAGCACCAUCUGUUUCAGGUGAGGGUGUGUUCGCUCCCUCAGACAGCCUGCAAGCUUUCAUCCAGCCUAUGAGACAUGAAAGCAAAGGCAGGGAGCUUCAAAUUCAGCCUGAAUUUGCUUUUGGCCGUCCAGAGCCUGUGUAUACUCUUCAGCUCUGUUGCCAAAACAAUCACAUGCGCUGACACAGGCGAUCACUAUCCUGCUGGUUCCACCUUGAGGAAGGAGUAACACCUGAAAAAUGCUCUCACACUCAGCCUUAUGGUGAUGUUAUGAUUCAGACACCUUUAAGGCAUGUCAGGGAGUGAUUGCUAGUAAUGCCCCUUGGUGACUAAUCUGCAGUUUUAACAGCAGCUGUAAUUCAAUGUCACAGACCAACAGGACAGCAAUACGAGCAGCAGCAGCUGACCUUGACCUCAGCGUUUGACUCGCCAUCAAUCGCCCUGCAGGUGUGUCCUGAAAACACCAAGCGCCCCUGUUACAGAGAGGAAGCUCUCAUGAAUAGCGGCCAGUGGCAACAGGAAAGCUGAGCGCUCCUUGAGUCCCUGAUGGAGACAAGUAUGUUCGAGCAAGGAAGUGAGCAAACAUCCUCUGACAAACAAGACAAAUCAGGCUUCUUUUUGUGUGACAGACAAAAUCAGAGCAGCAGGAGAACUUUUGAGACUAAAAUAUAAAAUAAAACUAAAAACUAAAACUAAAAUAACUGCCUGUAGUGAAGAGAGGUGAAGAGAAGAGCCCUAACAGGUUGUUUUACAGUAAGACAGUAGGACAGCUACUGUAGUUUUGCUCAACGUUUGUUUGCUUAGAAAGUAUAAAUAUUUCAGCAGAAUCCACUGAAGAUAAGAGGUGAGACAGGAAGAUAUUAAAUUCAUGGAUCGCAUGUUCAGGAAAAUUCAGAAUAACAGGAGAGACAGGAGCAGAGAAAUCAAAUGAUUGACAUCAGCUCAUAUCAGCUGACAGCUAAUUCGCCUUCAAAGCAUCCAAGUGGCAAAUGUCAUGACAGGCAUUUUCUCUAAACUGUUGCUCUCCCUGCCUCCACCCUAGCUUUACCAUCAGUGGCCCGAUGCCUGCUUUGUUCUAUACCCUGCAGGUCUUUGCUGCUGCUCAGGCUUUGACAUUCCCCGUAUGCAGGUGGACAGGCAAGGAGCUCUCAGAACAGAGCCAAACCACUAGUGGUAACAUGUUGUAUGGACAUAAUUAUUCUCUUUGACUUAAGUGUGACAUUACUGCAAUAUGAGCUGUCACUGUACCAGAUUUGAACCUCAUGAAAACUGGAAGGAAACAACACCAUGUCCACUUUUCUCUAUUAAUUGAUUCAAACAGAUUUCUCUGUCCUGCCCCUCUGAUUCUCUCAUCGUAACAAGCAACCUGGAGCAAAUUAAAAAAACGUCAAAUCUAACGUUAUGCUCGGCUUCAAAAAUACUGUAAUAAAACUGGGUGGUAUUCAAGAAACUAGCUGAAUAUUGGGAUAUAAGACAUAGGAAUUUAUAUACCAGCUAAAUAAGUGUAUUUUGAGCAGCUUAGUUUUCAUAAUGCAAUUGUGUAUUUUUUCAUUUGGAUCGUUCAGUUAACUGGAUAUACAGUGGAUAUAAAAAGUCUACACAACUCUGUUCAACUGGCAGGUUUUAGUGAUGUAAGAAAAUGACAGCGAGUUGAAUAUUUUCACAACUUUUUCCACCUCUAAUGUGACCUAUAAUCUGUACAAUGCAAUUGAAAAACAAACUGAAACCUUUAAGGGGAAAAAUUUAAAAAUAGAAAUGUUAAAAUAACCUGGUUGCAUAAAUAUGCACACCCUUAAACUAAUACUUUGUUGCAGCACCUUUGGCUUUUAUUACAGCACUCAGUCUUUUUGGGUAGGAGUCUAUCAGCUUCGCACAUCUUGAUGCGGCAAUAUUUGCAAAACCGCUCAAAAUCUGACAGAUUGCGAGGGCACUCCUAUGCACAGCCCUCUUCAGAUCACCCCACAAAUGUUCGAUGGGAUUCAGGUCUGGGCCGUUCUAAACGCUCAAUCUUAUUCCAGUGACACCAUUCUUUUGUUGAUUUAGAUGUGUGCUUUUGGUCAUUGUUGUGCUGAAAGAUGAAGUUCCUCUUCAUCUUCAUCUUUCUAGCAGAAGGUCGAAGGUUUUGUGCCAGCACUGACUGGUAUUUGGACCUGUUCAUAAUUCCCUCCACCCUAACUAAGGCACCAGUUCCAACUGAAGAAAAACAGCCCCGAAGCAUGAUGCUGCCACCACCAUGCUUCACUGUAGAUAUAGUGUUCUUUUGGUGAUGAGCAGUGUUGAUUUUGCGCCAAAUAUACCUUUUGCAAUGAUGCCCAAAAAGACCAUAACACAUUUUCCCACGUGUUUGGGAGAUUUCAGAUGUCUUGCAAAAUUAAGCCGGGCUUUGAUGUUUUUCUUUGUAAGAUAAGGCUUCCGUCUUUGCCACCCUACCCCAUAGCCCAGACAUAUGAAGACAGUGGGAGAUUGUUGUCACAUGUUCUACACAGCCAGUACUUGCCAGAAAUUCCUGCAGCUCCUUCAGUGUUGCUGUCGGCCUUUUAGUAGCCUCCCUAACCAGUUUUCUUCUUGUCUUAUCAUCAAUUUUGGACAGACGUCCUGUUCUUUGUAAUGUCAUCAUUGUGCCAUAUUUUCUCCACUUGAUGAUGAUGGUCUUUACUGUGUUCCAUGGUAUAUUUAAUUCCUUAGAAAUUCUUUUGUAGCCCUCAACUGACUGAUAUCUUUGAAUAAUGAGAUCCCUCUGAUGAUUUGGAAGCUCUCUGCGGACCAUGGCUUGUGCUGGUAGAUGUGUCUACAGAAAUGUCAGGAAGAGCCUACUAGAACAGCUGAACUUUAUUUGGGGUUGAUCAGAAGCACUUUAAUUGGUGACAGGUGUGUGUUGACUCCAAUUUAACCUGAGUUUGAAUGUUAUUGGUUAAAUCUGAACACAGCCACAAUCCCAGUUAUAAAAGGGUGUGCACACUUAUGCAACGACAUGAUCUCAGUUGUUUAUUUUUACUUCACCUCCCUGAAAGAUUUCUGUUUGUUUUUCAAUUGUGUUGUACAGGUUAUAUGUCACAUUUAAGGUGGAAGAAGUUGUGAAAUUAUUUAUCCUGAUGUAACUUUUUACAUGACAAAAACCUGGCAGUUGAACAGGGGUGUGUAGACUUUUUAUGUCCACUGUAUUCUGACAAUGUGGUCCAUGUAGGCUAAAACAACAGAGUGGCUACAAAACUUUUUUCAGCUGUUUACUCAAAUUUUAGAGUCAAGUCUAAUUAUGUUAAGUUUAUAUUAUGCCAAGCUGUUGCCUUUGCAUCGUAAUUAUUAUUAUUGUUAUUAUUAUAAGUAUUAUUAUUGUUAUUAUUAUUAUUAUUUUUAUUUUUUUGGUAAUUCAGUUGUUUUGCUUUCAGAGAGAUUUACCCUAGUGAGACUUAAAUUGUGUCCUGGUACAAGGCUUUAGUCCAGAUAAUUAACCCACACAUCAGGUUGAGUAGUUUCACGAGAAAAAAAUCAAUAUUGAUAUUAAAAGUUUGAGUCCACUGAACCUGAAAGCUGUCCUUGCCUCAGCUCUUUUGUUUUAAUGUCUAAUUGCACAAUGUUUAUCGGUGCUUCUUAGUUUCAUAAACCUAACAACAUCAUCGGAGAAGCGUGUGUUUGGAUCAGUUAAUUUGAUUACAUUAGUCCAGGUUCAAUAGGCAGUGUGCCUCAUUGAGCUUGUUUUUCUAACUGCCUGGAUGAAUUAACCCUGUGUUUAUUCUGAAACCCAACAAUUACAACAGUCUCUAGAGAGAGAGAGCGAUGGGUUUUAUUUUUCAGUCUAUGGUUUCUGAUGGAAAAAUAUAAUUGCUCAUGCUGGCUACUUUGAAGGAAAGAUUUAUGUGAAAAAGAACAAGAACAUGCAAAUUUAUGUUGUUGUUAGACUGAGAAGAUCUUGGUGACUUUCCCCAUAUAAGUUUAGAUAGUUUUGCUAUAAAUUUAUGAUAGAUCUUAUUCCCACAAGAGAAACUCAAAUACAAUUGGAAAAGACUAACAUUUGUAGAAGCAAAUUGAUUAUUUCAUGGAUGACUCCUUUAAAAGUCUACGUUUUUGUUUACGUUAUUGUCUGCUUUAACAUCAUGUUAACCAGUCAACAGGAGGAUAUGUGAAAGCCUUUGCUGGGGCCUAUUCUACGAAGCAGGAUUACCGCUUAGCGAGGUAACUUCUAGAGUAAGCUCGGGGUUUCCUGUUCUACGACACGGGUUCUCUUGGCGAGGUGAGUCUCCAUGGCAACAUACGCUGAAUGGCUAACCUGCUACGGGGCAGGUUAGGUUCCAGAUUGAACUCACUGAGUAUAAAAACCCCGCCCACUGACCAAUGAGCUCUCUCGAAAAAUGGCUUGUCCGUUCUUGGAGGAUCCUAUAGACCUCGGUGCUCGCAUUGUCCGAAGAGCACUCCGGCAUGCGAGAGUUUUCAGGGACCGCACGGACCCACCUACUUUUCCGGAUGACCACCUUUAUGAAAGGCUCAUAUGGCCUACAUAUCACACAAAAAAUGUAAACACGAUAGGAAUGAACAAAUUAAUUAAUUAAUCUUGGAAAUGAAUACGUCAUGUCUGGUGCAUGUUAAAAGCGCAUGUUGAACAGUGCUAUUUCAGGGUGAUAAUGGCAUCAAAGAUUAUUUGUGCACUAUAUUUACGCAUUGAGACCGUCUGCAAUUUUCUGCCAGUAUUCCUUCCAUGCUUUUGCAGUGGCGACGGUGUUGCUUUUGAGUUUUAUUAUAGAUUUGAAUUCUUCAUACUUUCUCAUGAUCGUCUCCUGCUCCUCGUUUGUAAAGUGCAAU